rnacentral:rRNA from 1 species
AGCAGGAGCGAAAAUUGCCCAAUCCCGACACGGGGAGGCAGUGACGAGAAAUAACAACUCUUGGUUAUUCUAAGAAGUGUAAUGAGGAUAAUUUAAAACCCUUACCGAAAGCAAUUGGAGGGCAAGUCUGGUGCCAGCAGCCGCGGUAAUUCCAGCUCCAAUAGCGUAUAUUAAAGUUGUUGCAGUUAAAAAGCUCGUAGUUGAAGUUCUGGCUGUUCGAUCCUCGAGCUCUGUAGCCGAGGACUCGACAGUCAUCCGCUUGCAAAUAUAUGUUCGCCUUUAACCGGGUGGCUAUAUGAGUAAGCAAUUUACCUUGAGAAAAACAGAGUGUUCCAGGCAGGUUUGUCCGGAAUGCAUUAGCAUGGAAUAAUAGAGUAUGACUGAAGUCGAUUUAUUGGUUUGAGGCUUUAGUAAUGAUUAAUAGGAACAGUCGGGGGCAUUGGUACUUGACAGUCAGAGGUGAAAUUCUAGGAUUUGUCAAAGACUAACAAAUGCGAAAGCAUUUGCCAAGGAUGUUUUCAUUAAUCAAGAACGAAAGUUAGGGGAUCAAAGACGAUCAGAUACCGUCCUAGUCUUAACUAUAAACUAUACCGACUCGGAUUCAGAUGAAUCAUAAAGUUCAUUUGGGACCGUAGGAGAAAUCAAAGUUUUUGGGUUCUGGGGGAAGUAUGGUCGCAAGGCUGAAACUUAAAGGAAUUGACGGUUUUGCACCACCAUGGAGUGGAGUCUGCGGCUUAAUUUGACUCAACACUGGGAAACUCAUCAGGGCAAGAAGAUUGUAGGAUUGACAGAUUGAGAGUUCUUUCUUGAUUGGUCUAGUGGUGGUGCAUGGCCGUUCUUAGUUGGUGGAGUGAUUUGUCUGGUUAAUUCCGUUAACGAACGAGACCUUAACCUGCUAACUAGUACACAGAUGACAAAUCUGUGAUACUUCUUAGAGGGACUAUGUGAUGUAAUCACAUGGAAGUUUGAGGCAAUAACAGGUCUGUGAUGCCCUUAGAUGUCCUGAGCUGCACGCGUACUACAAUGGUGCUUUCAACGAGCUUUUCCUGAUCCGAAAGGAUUUGGGUAAUCUUUUUAGUGAGCACCGUGCUUGGGAUAGAUCUUUGUAAUUAUGGAUCUUGAACUAGGAAUUCCUAGUAAGCGCGCGUCAUCAGCGCGUGCUGAUUACGUCCCUGCAAAAUGUACACACCGCCCGUCGCUAUUACCGAUUGAGUGUAAAGGUGAACCUUCUCGAUAGACGCAAGUUUAGAAAUUAAGUAAACCUUUGCACUUAGAGGAAAUAAAAG